rnacentral:rRNA from 1 species
CCCUUAGAUGUUCUGGGCUGCACGCGCGCUACACUGAUGCGUUCAACGAGUUUAUGACCUUGCCCGAUAGGGUUGGGUAAUCUUUUUAAAUCGCAUCGUGAUGGGGAUAGAUUAUUGCAAUUAUUAAUCUUCAACGAGGAAUUCCUAGUAAGCGCGAGUCAUCAGCUCGUGCUGAUUACGUCCCUGCCCUUUGUACACACCGCCCGUCGCUCCUACCGAUUGAGCGAUCCGGUGAAUAAUUCGGACUGCAGCAGUGUUCAGUUCCUGAACGUUGCAGCGGAAAGUUUAGUGAACCUUAUCACUUAGAGGAAGGAGAAGUCGUAACA